AUAAAGAGGAAGAUAG
rnacentral:sRNA from 1 species